UACAGAGGGGGCAAGCGUUAUUCGGAAUUAUUGGGCGUAAAGGGCGCGUAGGCGGCCUGGCAAGUGGAAGGUGAAAUCUCUCGGCUUAACCGAGGAACUGCCCUCCAAACUGCUUGGCUUGAGUCCGGGAGAGGUGAGUGGAAUUCCCAGUGUAGCGGUGAAAUGCGUAGAUAUUGGGAGGAACACCAGUGGCGAAGGCGGCUCACUGGACCGGAACUGACGCUGAGGCGCGAAAGCGUGGGGAGCAAACGGG
rnacentral:rRNA from 1 species